rnacentral:rRNA from 1 species
CCUACGGGAGGCUGCAGUGGGGAAUUUUGGACAAUGGGCGCAAGCCUGAUCCAGCCAUGCCGCGUGAGUGAAGAAGGCCUUCGGGUUGUAAAGCUCUUUCAGACGGAAAGAAAUCGGUGAGGUUAAUACCUUCACUGGAUGACGGUACCGUAAGAAGAAGCACCGGCUAACUACGUGCCAGCAGCCGCGGUAAUACGUAGGGUGCGAGCGUUAAUCGGAAUUACUGGGCGUAAAGCGUGCGCAGGCGGUGAUGUAAGACAGAUGUGAAAUCCCCG